AACGAACGCUGGCGGCAUGCCUAACACAUGCAAGUCGAACGAGACCUUCGGGUCUAGUGGCGCCCGGGUGCGUAACGCGUGGGAACCUGCCCUUAGGUUCGGCAUAACUCCACGAAAGGGGUGCUAAUACCGGAUCAUGUCUUCGGCCCAAAGAUUUAUUGACUUUGGAUGGGCCCGCAUUGGAUUAGCUAGUUGGUAGGGUAAAAGCCUACCCAGGCGCCGAUUCAUAGCUGGGUUGAGAGGAUGAUCAGCCACACUGGGACUGAGACACGGCCCAGACUCCUACGGGAGGCAGCAGUGGGGAAUAGAGGACAAUGGGCGAAAGCCUGAUCCAGCAAUGCCGCGUGAGUGAUGAAGGUCGUAGGGUUGUAAAGCUCUUUUAACCGGGAUGAUAAUGACGGUACCGGGAGAAUAAGCUCCGGCUAACUACGUG
rnacentral:rRNA from 1 species